rnacentral:lncRNA from 1 species
ACUGGAGUGGGUUGCCAUGCCCUCCUCCAGGGGAUCUUCCCUACCCAGGAAUUGAACCCAGGUCUCCCACACUGCAGGCAAAUUUUUACCGUCUGAGCCACUAGGGAAGCCCUAACAUGAUUCUUCUCCCCGAAUUCUCUCCCGCCUGUAUUCCCUGACCCAGCAGGAAACCAUCAGUGGAGCUCCUUUGCUUCCUUCGAUUAGAGAAUCAAAUCUGUGAGCCAGAUCUUAAGUUCGAGGGCUGUACAAAUAGAUGUGCGCAUUCCUGGAGUCUGAAAAAGUUCAAAAACAUUAUGAUAGCAGAGAAGGCAAUGGCACACCACUCCAGUACUCUUGCCUGGAAAAUCCCAUGGACGGAGGAGCCUGGUGAGCUGCAGUCCGUGGGGUCACUAGGAGUCGGACACGACUAAGUGACUUCACUUGCACUUUUCACUUUCAUGCAUUGGAGAAGGAAAUGGCCACCCACUCCAGGGUUCUUGCCUGGAGAAUCCCAGGGACGGGGGAACCUGGUGGGCUGCCGUCUAUGGGGUUGCACAGAGUCGGACACGACUGAGGCAACUUAGCAGCAGCAGCAGCA